rnacentral:lncRNA from 1 species
UCCACUUGGUAAUUUAACUUUGGCAUGUUUAUACAUUGUCCUGAAUGCCCAAAGUGCUCUUGUUGCUGGAUUCAGCCUACUCAUUGGAUUGAGGAAAAUAGCUGUUGCUACGAACAUGUUGAAUCUUUAACAGCUAGAAAGAGAUCCUCCACUGUUAGAGAUGAGCUCUGUGGGGAUGCUGAAGUGACACAUGAUAUGCUCAUAGAUGAACUUCGUUGUUGUGUACUGAUCUACACAUCUGAGGGGAA